UCUUCUUGGCACCCACGAGCAGCACUCACCUCCACCACCGGCGCCGCCGCGAUGUCAUGGCCGGAGGUGCUCGUGCCUCUCCAGCCUUCGCGCCAUGCUCUCCUCCCACUCACACCCCCCCGUUGUCUGGCCCUCCCCCUCGCGCUCCCACUCUCUCCGGCCAGGUCCCUACUCCUCCUCGAUUGGUACGCGUCCUCCUGCCUAGCUCUCUUGUUGUCCUCCCUCCCGCUUCGCCCCACCCUCGCCACCGCCGAUACGGACCGCGUGCUCGGCCUCCUCAACUCCCUCCCGCCCUUGCUCCAUGAGUCCUUCCUGGUGCCGUUCCUCCGCUCCCUGUCCCACCGGGGCCCCCUCCACUUGCUCGACUAAAAGGUCUUCACACCUCGCAGGAUACAGAGCUCACCGUGGACAUCUAGCGCGGGUGGACGGGCGGCUUAACCGGUGACAUGACGGAGCUCAGUGCUAGCUCUAAAAAAUUGUCCUUGACGUUUCCUCUUCCGCUUCACUCCCAAUUCCCAUCCAGUAAAAAUCACCAUAGCCCCUUGCACUCAUCCUUUCAAUCUGGAUUGGAUUGAGGGAUCCAUGGCAGCCGGCAAUCAUCGGAGAGACGCGGCCACACGACAGCAACGGUGGCCCUAUUGCCCUUCUGCUCUCUGACCGUGGGCAAGCACCUGGUGCUCACGCGUGCACCUGUGCCUGCAAGCUCGGAGAUGCUUGAGUGCGGGUGCACAGGUUGAAUCGAUGGCAAUACAGGAGAUGCACAAAUGUGCUCGAUGAAUUGAUUAUGAGAGAUGACGCUACUGGUUCUCCUCCCCAUGAUCCUUGCAUUGUCGAGUGCCACCAGGUUCAAGCAAAGCUACUGGGUGUUCAGCUCUCUUCUUCCUCAAGAUAAUGGCAAAGAAGUUAUAAUGAUCCCCUGCCAAUUCAUUUGUUCAAGGUUGAUUUCUGCUUCUGCAUCUCGUCCAUUUCACUUGUCUCUGCUAACAAGUUCAACUCGUGUGCCCAAAUAGGAGACCUAGAGAGAAGCGAUUGGUUUGGCUCUCACCUCCUUUGGUGCUCUCUCCUUGAAAUGUGUUUGCUUUUAAGUUGGUGGAAGCAAAAGAAAAUUAGAUAGCAAAGAAAAACUCUGUAUGGCAUAUGAAAUCGAUUUGAGUAAUUAUCUGUCCUGCUUAGCGUCGUGAACUCGUGAUAGUAAGAAAUGCACUGAUUAUAAUGGAUUCUGUUUCCAAGAUGAAUCAGGGGGUAGCUAAAACUAUAAGAAUACUGAAGUUAGUCCAAGGAUGAAAGUACAUAGUUGUUCCAUGGAUAAAUAUGAUCUAUGUUUGGUAUUUUCCAUACAUAAAUAGAUUGUUCUUUACGUCAUCACUAACUUAGAUCACUAGAGCUGCAGCACAAUGUAUUAAAAGCUUUUACUAAUAGUUUAAUACUCAGUUUGCUUCAAAAACAGCAAUCCAAGACGCAAAGAAGAACAUAACAAAAGGUGCUAGGAAUCACCACCAAGUUUACUGACGUCUGCAUUGUGUGACAAUAUCUGUUGCAACUUAAUUGGCAAAACAAUUCAAGUCUGCUCCGUGUGCACAAAGCCAUAUACGUAGAUGUAUUUUCAGUCUAAAAUGGAAGUAAUUAUAGAUUCAAAUCCAAAGAGAUUGUUCAGUUAAAAUUUCUUGGUCAUCAGAUUUGAAGUUGCGCGCGAACACCGGUCUUCCCGCAGCAGUGGUGGCCGAGUUCCGUGCUGAGCUCCAGCGCGCCCUCCCCACGGCGAUGACCGGUUGCGCGUCGUCCGCGGCAGCAUCCAAGCUCCACGCGCCCUUUCUGUCACGACCACGGUGGCGGCGCCAAGGCUAGCGGUUUCGGCAGCUACCACCGCCGAUACAGGGGCGACAAUUUUGAGACAACUAUAGAUGUAGAGUAGUAAAAGGUUUAAUUUGAUUGGGUUCAGUUUUUGGCUAUAAAUCCUAAUUUAUUGCUGCAUUUUCCUUUAGUUGAUUCAGUAUUAUGAUUCAUGCCAUUCUUUUUAUUUUCAUUCCAGCGUUUAUCCAUGUGCAGACAUGGAUUAGGCUUCCAACUGGUGCACAGAUGCAGUAUACAUCACGUUGCUUCUUCUAUCAACAACAAAGACUGACUAUUUUGUAAUUGCAGCUCUGCAUCCGACGGUGCUUGCUGAUGCUGAGGUCCUCUGCAAACAUAUAAUGGAAAGAUCAUCACCAGAUACGGUCAAUGCAAUAUGCACAGGUGGUUAUCAACGGUUCCUCCUCCUCCUGGUAAUUUGUUGAAGCUAACCGGUAGAAUGAUUUUUUGGUUAUUGAGACAAAUGUGACUAGAUUAAGUUUGUAGCUAUAAAUGUAGAGCGCAUCUGGCUACUUGCAUGGGCCAAGAUCACACUCCAAGAUAUGGUCGCAUGAAAGUACUGGCAACAUAUCUGUUUGGUAGAAUGGCACUAUAUGAGCAUUUCCUACCAUAUCUGUAUGGUCCUAAAAUCUCAUAACAAUACGCAUCAUUACGCAUUUAUGCUCUUGAUUGCUUUGCUAAA